rnacentral:rRNA from 1 species
CCCUUAGAUGCCCGGGGCCGCACGCGCGCUACACUGAAGGAAUCAGCGUGGCUUUCUCCCUGACCCGAAAGGGUUGGGAAACCCGUUGAAUCUCCUUCGCGAUAGGGAUUGGGGCUUGAAAUUGUUCCCCAUGAACGAGGAAUUCCCAGUAAGCGCGAGUCAUAAGCUCGCGUUGAUUACGUCCCUGCCCUUUGUACACACCGCCCGUCGCUACUACCGAUUGAACGGUUUAGUGAGGGCCUCGGAUUGGUCUCGGCCCGCUCUUUACCGGGCGGCGCCGUUGGUCGAGAAGACGCUCGAACUUGAUCGUUUAGAGGAAGUAAAAGUCGUAACA